rnacentral:rRNA from 1 species
UACGUAGGGUGCGAGCGUUGUCCGGAAUUAUUGGGCGUAAAGAGCUCGUAGGUGGCGGGUCACGUCGGGUGUGAAAGCCCGGGGCUUAACUCCGGGUCUGCAUUCGAUACGGGUCUGCUGGGGUCCGGCAGGGGAGACUGGAAUUCCUGGUGUAGCGGUGAAAUGCGCAGAUAUCAGGAGGAACACCGGUGGCGAAGGCGGGUCUCUGGGCCGAUACUGACACUGAGAAGCGAAAGCGUGGGGAGCGAACAGG